GUGGAUUCCAGAAUGGAGAGGUUAAAGCCCAAAUUACUUCCUGGUUGUGAAAUAUAUGAAUUAUUAGCUCCUGGGUGGAUACCUUUGUUAUGAACUUUGAUGUUAUGAAUUUUGAUGUGACAGUAGCUGUUCAAAGGAGAGGAAAAAGGAUGUGUGAGAAGUCUGCAAAAAUCAGAAUAUGGGCUUUUAGCUUAUAGACUCUGUCUUUUUCUCUCUCAAUGGAGUUCUUUCUUCUCAGAGGCAAUUAACUACAUCUAGGACAGGGAUGAGCGGAGGUUUCUUCUUUGCUUCUCUUGCUGGAAUAGGCUAAAUUGGUAGGUUUAGAAAGAUUAUUGAAGUACAAAGUGUGAGGGAGAUGCUGGUCCAGAGGUUCAGACCAUUCCUAACAUCACAGGAAAAACAAGCGAACAAUACCACACUGAAAAAUAACUGGUUGUUGCCUGAAGCAAUUGCCAUAUUCUUAAACUGCCUUUAUUCGUACCAGUAAUGCUGUGGUGAAAACUCACUCAUCUUUGAGGAGCUCCUUCUGGUACUGAACCUAGGUUUUCUUGACCCUGAUGUUACCCACCACCGCGGGGAAGAGCCACCAUGGGGUGGGGAGGGCACCCCUGCAAUGAGUAGGACAGUGGUGCUCUGUGGUAGAUGAGGGUAUAGGGGGAGUGGGCAUGGCCAUGCUGUGGAGCUCCUCACCACCUCUCAGCAGCUUUCCCCCGUUGUCUGGCCAUCCUCAGAGGGUAUGAAGGACAACAUGCCUGGCUGUGGAGAGAAAGAUGAGACCUGAGGCUGGAAUCCAGCUUGUGGUGGAUAAAUGCUGGAGAGGCGGGCUGGUCCCCACAAAACCCUCCAGACCACCCCUAGCAGCAGCUGGCUUCACUUACAACCCCAGCUGAGAUGAAUGGCAUUCCAGCACUCACCACCAGCCCACUGCUGCUUCUCCUUUUACAGCUGUUGCCUGAUUACAUCAAGCCUCUUGCUUUUGCUUUUGAUGUAAAUCCAGCUGGGAGGGUGCAUUGGGGUGGGAACUGAGGUUAUUUGCUCAAACCCCACCUUCCAAUGUGAAAGCCUAGUUGAGGGUUAGCAGUGGCAAGCGAUGCCUCCGUGACCUCUGCUUCCUCUGCCGUAAGAGUUUGCAUUGUAGAGUGAUGAAUACAUAAUUCAUUCCCACCCACCAGGGAAAUGCCCUGGCAGCACGGCACAGACAUCCGCAGCACAAUAUUGCAGGAAGAAAGGAGAUUGGAAAGCAGAAGAGCUGAGUCAUCCCCUGAGAAGACAUUUCCCACAGCAGAUGUUAUGCCAUGCGAUCCUGCUAUCUUUUGCAGUCAUUGCUGGAGGAGCUUCUGUGUCACUCCAAGACCUGAAUGAAGAUAACAUGGUCCCAUUCCUCCAGUCACAUCACUACAGCAAAGAUAAACAGUGCUUGCUGCAGAACAAGCGUCAGUAAAUCCUCUCUACUUGAAAACAUCCCUGUCAGUACCGAGACCUUACCUUUGAAAGGCGAUAAUGUGAAAAACAUCCUGCUACAUUUUGCAAUGAACAUCUAUUUACAUA